rnacentral:SRP_RNA from 1 species
CUAUGGAAGGCGCAUGCUCAAGGCGGGCAACAAAGCAGGCCAAAUCA